CAGCCGCCACGGGAAUACGUAGGUGGCAGGCGUUGUCCGGAAUUAUUGGGCGUAAAGGGCUCGCAGGCGGUUUCUUAAGUCUGAUGUGAAAGCCCCCGGCUCAACCGGGGAGGGUCAUUGGAAGCUGGGAAACUUGAGUGCAGAAGAGGAGAGUGGAAUUCCACGUGUAGCGGUGAAAUGCGUAGAGAUGUGGAGGAACACCAGUGGCGAAGGCGACUCUCUGGUCUGUAACUGACGCUGAGGAGCGAAAGCGUGGGGAGCGAACAGGAUUAGAUACCCCCGUAGUCCCUGUCUCUUAUAC
rnacentral:rRNA from 1 species